UCCGCUGAAGGGGGGAAAGAGGGAGUCAACUCCAUUGAAUCAACCUCCCUCAUAUGAUCAAAAUACUAGGUCAGACUCACAUGAUCAAAGGGCAAUGGUGAAAGUACACUAUGAAUACCCUAGGAGCACGUGUAGGGAACUACUAAGGGGAAAACAACCUGCAACCAAAAUAAUGCAUAAAUGGCUAGAAGGGGAGCCAUCAUCCAGGUCACACAUCCACCAAGGAGGGACAACUGAUGAUGGUUUUGAAGGGAUCUCAAAAGAGACUCCACCUCAUAAACCAAACACCCUCAGUCCAUAAACUCUUUUUCUCUUCUCUCUCUCUCUCUCUCUCUCUCUCUACACACACACACACACACACAAACCCAGAUAAACAUAACUACAAACAAAAACCAUAGAAAAACAAAAUCUUCCAAGGCGGCACCUCAAGAACAGGAUGACAACGAUGGAGAACAUCGCAGAGGCGUCACCGUCCUCUUACCCAAAACUUCAAAAAAUUAAAACCCCACCUAAAUAACCAAGGUUAAACAAGAAUCUACCAACCGUUUUCAAAAGUAACCAACCAAACUCAUAGAUCGGAGUUCACAUGACACAAAUCCUAACUUGUUCAAAUAACACCAAAUCAACAAUAUCAAAUGGGAAAUCAGCCAUUCACACAAACAUCAUCAAAAAAGGCAAAAAUGACGAGAAGUGUAACAAAAAACGACCUUGUCGGAGACUUAAAAUCCGACGAGAAACUCUGGUGCAAGAAAUAACUCAGGUACGUAAAUUCUUUAUAUCCUCGUUCUUCCUUGUUUCCUGCUCGCCUUGACUCCUUCUUCUACUGUCUUCUGAAUGUUAUGUGUUUAAAUAUUGAUUUUUUUUAUGAAAUAAGGGGUCUUAGCUCAUCCCUAAUCAAACUUCAAUAUGAAGUUUAGAGAGCCUUUCUUAGAGUAUGAGCUUUGAGUGAGGGGUCAGUUUUGAAUUCUGCAGAGUUUUAGUGUUUUUUUUGUUCAUCAAAAUGAGUGAAGGAGAGGCACUGUUUU
rnacentral:lncRNA from 1 species